rnacentral:rRNA from 1 species
GUUUGAUCAUGGCUCAGAUUGAACGCUGGCGUGCAGGCCUAACACAUGCAAGUCGAGCGGUAGCACAGUGGAGCUUGCUCCUGGGUGACGAGCGGCGGACGGGUGAGUAAUGUCUGGGAAACUGCCUGAUGGAGGGGGAUAACUACUGGAAACGGUAGCUAAUACCGCAUAACGUCUUCGGACCAAAGUGGGGGACCUUCGGGCCUCAUGCCAUCAGAUGUGCCCAGAUGGGAUUAGCUAGUAGGUGGGGUAACGGCUCACCUAGGCGACGAUCCCUAGCUGGUCUGAGAGGAUGACCAGCCACACUGGAACUGAGACACGGUCCAGACUCCUACGGGAGGCAGCAGUGGGGAAUAUUGCACAAUGGGCGCAAGCCUGAUGCAGCCAUGCCGCGUGUAUGAAGAAGGCCUUCGGGUUGUAAAGUACUUUCAGCGAGGAGGAAGGCAUUAAGGUUAAUAACCUUGGUGCAUUGACGUUACUCGCAGAAGAAGCACCGGCUAAACUCCGUGCCAGCAGCCCGCGGUAAUACGGAGGGUGCAA